rnacentral:misc_RNA from 1 species
UCUCCGUAGGUGAACCUGCGGAGGGAUCAUUACUGAGUGAGGGUUUAACCUACCGACCUCCAACCCUUUGUGAAUCGUUCUCGUUGCUUCGGGGGCGACCCUGCCGUUUCGACGGCGAGCGCCCCCGGAGGCCUUCAAACACUGCAUCUUUGCGUCGGAGUUUAAGUAAAUUAAACAAAACUUUCAACAACGGAUCUCUUGGUUCGUGCAUCGAUGAAGAACGCAGC